rnacentral:rRNA from 1 species
CCCGACGGUCAUAGGGAGAGGGGAAACACCCGUACCCAUCUCGAACACGGAAGUUAAGCCCUCUCCCGUUGGCGGGAGUACUACGGUCCUCGAGCCGUGGGAAACCGCCAAGCCGUCGGGC